rnacentral:misc_RNA from 1 species
GUAGGUGAACCUGCGGAAGGAUCAUUACAGUAUUCUUUUGCCAGCGCUUAACUGCGCGGCGAAAAACCUUACACACAGUGUCUUUUUGAUACAGAACUCUUGCUUUGGUUUGGCCUAGAGAUAGGUUGGGCCAGAGGUUUAACAAAACACAAUUUAAUUAUUUUUACAGUUAGUCAAAUUUUGAAUUAAUCUUCAAAACUUUCAACAACGGAUCUCUUGGUUCUC